UGUAGCUCAGUGGUAAAGCACUUGCCUAGUAUGCAUGAGGCCCUGAGUUCAAUCCCCAGCA
rnacentral:tRNA from 1 species